GUGAUUUUGUGUCCUCCAUGCUCUUCCCCUUUGUACUUGUUUGGCUUUAUAGCUGUUUUGAUAUGAGCGUCACUGAUGAGAAUUAUAAAGACGAAACGUGCAUCUUGCGUAUUAAAUUAUAGUCCUGGUACCUUUGAAAACUAAUUGUAUCUAUGUCUAUCUUAAUCAAACUUAGUUCUGCACAAAACGUAUACUAUAAACAGUUUGUAAGGAAUGGAUGAAUACCACUGGUAUAACAGUGAGUUUCUAAGAAAUGAAUCAUAUUGCAAAUUAUUUUCAAAGACAAUCCUGUGAAGAAAACAGCAAAACCUAAAAGUAAUAUUUAAAAGAACUUAGGUGGUUAAGUUGUAAUCAAUAUAUCACUAUUACUAUAGAGUAAUUUCUUUAUGAGGCAUGAACCUUUUCACAAAACUAAGGUAUAGGCAAACUACAGUAAAUAUCUGCACUGCAGUUACAUUCUUUCUGAGUCUUCAGCAUACAAAUACUUGUCUCUGAAAUAUCUUCAGUUAGUAUGUGUCUGACCGUUCUUUCACUAGAAUUUCAUAUAACAAAAACGAAAUGUUUCUGGCACAAUUUUCUUUUAUUAUUAGUCAACAUAUGUUAUGGUGUGAUUGUAUCAUGCAAAAAAAUAGGAACGUAUAAAUUUCAAUAAAAUUUCACAUUAAUUAUAUAUAAUAUUAUUUUAACUUAUCAUAACUACAAGCAUUUACGAUUUCUUACAUUAGUUACAAUGAUUAAAACAUACUUUAUCUUAAUCAUCUUUUUCAUUCUUUUAAAAGCCAAUUUAAAAUGUCUGUAUACUUUAAGGUGGUACCCAACCAAAAUUAAUCUGGCUUGUUUAUUUUUUUUUUAAUUUUGACACAGUAUUUACUUUGACCCUUUGACACAAAUACAAAAGUUUCAAAAAAAUUGAAUGAACUGUUUAAUCAGAAAAAUUACACUGGUUAAAUAGCAGUUUGACAAAAAACUUAUUUUUAUCAUUGAGACGCUUAGUUUUCCCUUAACAACACAACUUCAUUAAAACGUUAUGCUGAUUUUACAGAGUUAUCUCCCUGUAGUGUUAGGUACCACCUUAAAUUCACAGUUCAAUACAUUAUUUUAUAAAACACUUAUCAUGUUUGCUCAGAGCAAAUGUUUGAGAAACCAAAAAUUAUGUAAACAUUGACAAAAAUAAUCAAAAUAAGCCUCCUAUUUGUAAUCAUUAAAAGUGUUUCAACUUUAAUUUACCUUUUUAUUAUUUUAGAAGAUUCUAUACUCCAUUCAUCAGUUCCAUUAAAUAAUAAAGUAUUUACAAUCGAACAAUUGUUUUAAGAGAACUAAAGAUGUAACAAAAACAGACAGAAUUAAACUAGGAGGCAAUAUUGAACAGUAUACAUUUUGUUAAUUAAUAGACAAUAGAUAAGGCUGAGUUGUUUUUAUAACAUACAUGUACAACCAUUGUAUUGACUGAAUAACCCAUUUUGAGAUCAUUAGUGAUGACACAUGUUUUGCACCUCUAACUUUCUUAUUGUUUUUUUAUAAUUUUUCACUCUUUUUCAAAUCUCAACAUGUCAUGUGAAUUUUGUCAAUAUUGGUGGAAACAAAGAUGUCAGCACAAAUAAUCAAAGAAAGUCAAGCAAUUUAUUUGCUAUAUCAGAGAUUUCUUCAUCCUUAAAAUAUAAUACAGAAUAUACUAAUGGUCUAGUAUAACAUGUACAUUGCCAUAGAUCCCAUUUUCAUUAUCUACAGCGAGAUUUUUUAUAAAGACUUUGUAAUGUUCUUGAUUGUGACAUUUGCCAACUAGCCAUAACUUUGGAAUAGACUGUUAUCAUAUUAAUAAUCAACUUUUGACGGUGGAGUUUAUAAUUUUUCAACAGCUAACCUACACUGUGGUUGGCUAUUUUGUUUAAGUUUUACUAUCAGUGCAAUUUGGGGAAACAAUUAUUAGUUUUCCAAUAAUUCGUUGGUCUUAUAUAGAAAACAUAAAACAGUGAAUUAUUUCCCCAAAUUGCACCCAUUAUGAAAUUUAUUUUACCUCUUUCAGUUGUUCUUGCUUGAACAAGUACCAGAAUGUCCUUUCAGAGAAGGAUACUUGUCAAUUAUUUUUUUUACUCUGUAGUCAAUGGUCAGUUUUAUGAAAAUAGCCUAUACCUAUUGAAUAAAAGAUAAUUCUAACACAGAGGUAGAUGCUGAUCUCCUCAAUUUCUUCUAUGUUUGUCUGUUUCAGAUGAUAUCAACAUUUACUAUUUACCAAAAUUUCUUCUAAAAGUUUGUGCAGCACUUUUUCAUUUUUUUCACGAUUUUGGGGGGAUGAAAAGGGGGUGCAUGCUAUACCUACUAUACAUAACUGCAUACUAUACAUGGUCGAUAAAGUACAUAAUCCUUAUGCAAAUAAUAAUACAAUGUUCCCAAGUAUUAUAACAACAAUUUGUAGAAAUAGAAGUAUAUAAAUAAAAAUCUUUAAAAUAGAAAUAAUUCAAUAAAACAUGCACUGACAAACUAAACAUACAUAAUCUCAGUCAGGUUUAUAAUGUAUAUUAGAAAAUUCUGUAGCAUCUACAAAUCUGUA
rnacentral:lncRNA from 1 species